rnacentral:rRNA from 1 species
UACAGAGGGUGCAAGCGUUGUUCGGAAUUAUUGGGCGUAAAGGGUGCGUAGGCGGCGCGACAAGUUGGGUGUGAAAUCCCUCGGCUCAACCGAGGAACUGCGCCCAAAACUGUCGUGCUCGAGGGAGACAGAGGUGAGCGGAACUUAGGGUGGAGCGGUGAAAUGCGUUGAUAUCCUAAGGAACACCGGUGGCGAAAGCGGCUCACUGGGGUCUCUGCUGACGCUGAGGCACGAAAGCUAGGGUAGCGAACGGG